GCCUUUGUGGUGUAAUGGUCAGCACACUGAGCCGGUAUUUCAGAGGUCCGCGGUUCGAUUCCCGGCGAAGGCC
rnacentral:tRNA from 1 species